rnacentral:lncRNA from 1 species
GUGUGGAAGCCCUUGAGAUCAAGACAGGUGUUUGUUUGAGUAGCAGAACUGGAGGUGGUGGCAGCGUUGGCGGUGGCCGUCAGCUUGGGUGCAAGUGGGCGGAGGCGCUUGAAGCUGAUUGUCAAGGAGGAAGUGAUGGUGGUGGAGGAGGAGGAGGAGGAGGACGAAGAGGAGGAAGGGGAGGAGGGGUCUUGCAGUUGCUGCUCCCAGAUGCCUCCUACUGCGAGCUGUUGAUCCUUCAUGGCUUUCCGUGGACUGUGAAAACAAUGAAUGAGAGAAUUGUGAUGGCAGCGUGCUGGAUAUUUAUUCUAAGUUUAUAUGUCCACACAUAUUCUGUCUGAAAUGAGGCGAGAGCUGGGGCGAGUACGGUGUCA